AGAGUUUGAUCCUGGCUCAGGAUUAACGGNNGGGGCAGGCCUAAUACAUGCAAGUCGAACGGGAUUCAAAGUANCAAUAUUUUGAUGAGAGUGGCGCACGGGUGAGUAACACGUAUGCAAUUUACCUUUAACUGGGGGAUAGCCCUCCGAAAGGAGGAUUAAUACCGCAUAAUAUAUUGAAAUGGCAUCAUUUUAAUAUUAAACCUACGGGGGUUAAAGAUGAGCAUGCAUCCGAUUAGCUAGUUGGUGUGGUAACGGCUCACCAAGGCAACGAUCGGUAGGGGGUCUGAGAGGAUGAUCCCCCACACUGGUACUGAGACACGGACCAGACUCCUACGGGAGGCAGCAGUGAGGAAUAUUGCGCAAUGGAGGCAACUCUGACGCAGCCAUGCCGCGUGCAGGAAGAAGGCGCUACGCGUUGUAAACUGCUUUUAUCCGGGAAGAAACCCCAGGACGUGUCCUGGGUUGACGGUACCGGAGGAAUAAGCACCGGCUAACUUCGUGCCAGCAGCCGCGGUAAUACGAAGGGUGCAAGCGUUAUCCGGAUUCAUUGGGUUUAAAGGGUGCGUANGUGGGGCGAUAAGUCAGCGGCGAAAUCCUGCAGCUCAACUGCAGAAUUGCCGUUGAUACUGUCGCUCUUGAGUACGCCUGACGUGUGCGGAAUGUGCCGUGUAGCGGUGAAAUGCUUANAUAUGCCAUANAACACCGAUUGCGAAGGCAGCUGGCUGGACCUGGNUUGACGCUGAGGCACGAAAGCGUGGGNAUCAAACAGGAUUAGAUACCCCGGUAGU
rnacentral:rRNA from 1 species